CCUACGGGUGGCAGCAGUGAGGAAUAUUGGUCAAUGGACGAGAGUCUGAACCAGCCAAGUAGCGUGAAGGAUGACUGCCCUAUGGGUUGUAAACUUCUUUUAUAUGGGAAUAAAAUGUUCCACGUGUGGGAUUUUGUAUGUACCAUAUGAAUAAGGAUCGGCUAACUCCGUGCCAGCAGCCGCGGUAAUACGGAGGAUCCGAGCGUUAUCCGGACUUAUUGGGUUUAAAGGGAGCGUAGGUGGAUUGUUAAGUCAGUUGUGAAAGUUUGCGGCUCAACCGUAAAAUUGCAGUUGAAACUGGCAGUCUUGAGUACAGUAGAGGUGGGCGGAAUUCGUGGUGUAGCGGUGAAAUGCUUAGAUAUCACGAAGAACUCCGAUUGCGAAGGCAGUUCACUGGACUGCAACUGACACUGAGGCUCGAAAGUGUGGGUAUCAAACAGGAUUAGAUACCCGAGUAGUC
rnacentral:rRNA from 1 species